UACGGGGGGGGCAAGCGUUGUUCGGAAUUACUGGGCGUAAAGGGCUCGUAGGUGGCCAACUAAGUCAGACGUGAAAUCCCUCGGCUUAACCGGGGAACUGCGUCUGAUACUGGAUGGCUUGAGUUUGGGAGAGGGAUGCGGAAUUCCAGGUGUAGCGGUGAAAUGCGUAGAUAUCUGGAGGAACACCGGUGGCGAAGGCGGCAUCCUGGACCAACACUGACACUGAGGAACGAAAGCCAGGGGAGCAAACGGG
rnacentral:rRNA from 1 species